rnacentral:rRNA from 1 species
CCCCAGGUCAGGUGGGACUACCCGCUGAGUU